UUAGUGAUGCCUUUCGGCCUGUCAAACGCACCUGCCUGUUUCCAAGCCUUAGUUAAUGACGUUUUGAGAGAUUUUUUGAACAUUUUCGUUUUUGUUUAUCUUGAUGACAUAUUGAUCUAUUCCAGGACUCUGUCAGAACAUAAGAGACAUGUAAGAUUUGUUCUCCAGCGACUGCUGGAGAAUAAAUUGUUUGUAAAGGCUGAGAAGUGCGAAUUUCACCGCCCAUCAGUCACCUUCCUGGGAUUCGUGCUCGAGGGCGGACAGGUAAGACCAUCGGAGGAGAAGAUCAAAGCUGUUCUAGACUGGCCUACCCCAGAGAAUAGAAAACAACUUCAACGAUUUCUGGGGUUUGCUAAUUUCUAUCGGAGGAUCGGAUGUGGGUUCCGGGUUCUUUUAUUUUAGAUCCUUCUUUGAUUUCUGAUUAUCGUUCCUCCCUGCCUUCCUCGGUUGGACCGCCAGGUGGCGGUCGUUGAGGGGGGGGUACUGUUGGGAUCCGGAGCUGUUCAUCCACCAGAGGGCGCUGGAGGCCUUGUUCCAUCUGAGGGCGUCUCCUGAACCACGCACCUGAAACCAUUCUGCCAUCAGGAGCUGUAUAACUGGAGGAGGCUGCUGACACUUCCCUGCCAGAUUGUUAGCUAGUUAUGGUACCGGCUCACUCCAGCUCUACUCUUCCUGUUUGCUUCCUGAAUUCUGAUCCACCUGUGUCUCUGACCUUUUUUCAGCUGAUUGACCUGAUACGUACUGAAGAUAGAUCCAGCCCAGGACCCCUCCGAACCUACAGCUCGGCAGCCUGCUUCUGGCAGAACAGUUCAGACUUACCUGUCCGUCCUCCAACGCCGCCGCAGCCCGCAGCCCUCCGCGCCUCAAAACAGACUCCGGAUUUCCCAGGUUUUUUCCCCCAGUCCUUUCUCCUCCCGAUCGGAGCUGACCUGAGAUCCAGUCCCAAGCGCUCCCGGAUUGUUUAUCUGUUUUUUCCCCCUUCCCCUUGGUUGUAAUAAAUCUCUUUAAUCAA